rnacentral:rRNA from 1 species
GGCUUCACACAUGCUACAAUGGCCGGUACAAAGGGCUGCGAUGCCGCGAGGUUAAGCGAAUCCUUAAAAGCCGGUCUCAGUUCGGAUCGGGGUCUGCAACUCGACCCCGUGAAGUCGGAGUCGCUAGUAAUCGCAGAUCAGCAACGCUGCGGUGAAUACGUUCCCGGGCCUUGUACACACCGCCCGUCACGUCAUGAAAGUCGGUAACACCCGAAGCCAGUGGCCUAACCCUCGGGAGGGAGCUGUCGAAGGUGGGAUCGGCGAUUGGGACGAAGUCGUAACAAGGUAGCCGUACCGGAAGGUGCGGCUGGAUCACCUCCUUUC